rnacentral:rRNA from 1 species
AUUGAACGCUGGCGGCAUGCCUUACACAUGCAAGUCGAACGGCAGCACGGGAGCAAUCCUGGUGGCGAGUGGCGAACGGGUGAGUAAUACAUCGGAACGUGCCCAGUAGUGGGGGAUAACCCGGCGAAAGCCGGACUAAUACCGCAUACGACCUACGGGUGAAAGCAGGGGAUCGCAAGACCUUGCGCUAUCGGAGCGGCCGAUGUCAGAUUAGCUUGNGGCGGGGUAAAGGCCCACCAAGGCGACGAUCUGUAGCUGGUCUGAGAGGACGACCAGCCACACUGGGACUGAGACACGGCCCAGACUCCUACGGAGGCAGCAGUGGGGAAUUUUGGACAAUGGCGCAAGCCUGAUCCAGCCAUGCCGCGUGCGGGAAGAAGGCCUCGGUUGUAACGUAC